rnacentral:rRNA from 1 species
UACGAAGGGGGCUAGCGUUGCUCGGAAUUACUGGGCGUAAAGCGCACGUAGGCGGCUUCUUAAGUCGGUGGUGAAAUCCUGGAGCUCAACUCCAGAACUGCCUUCGAUACUGGGAAGCUCGAGUCCGGGAGAGGUGAGUGGAACUGCGAGUGUAGAGGUGAAAUUCGUAGAUAUUCGCAAGAACACCCGUGGCGAAAGCGGCUCUCUGGAACGGUACUGACGCUGAGACGCGAAAGCGUGGGGAGCGAACAGG